AUGGAGCCUACCCCUCUCCUGACGCCGUACAAGAUGGGCCAGCUCGACCUUGCCCACCGGAUCGUCCUGGCCCCGCUCACCCGCCAGCGCUCCUACGGCAAUGUGCCGCAGCCGCACGCCGCCGUGUACUACUCCCAGCGCGCCACCGUCGGCGGGCUUCUCAUCACCGAGGCCACCGGCGUCUCCGACACGGCGCAGGGGUACCGCGAUACACCGGGCGUGUGGACGGCGGAGCAUGUCGAGGCAUGGAAGCCCAUCGUCGAUGCAGUGCAUGCCAAGGGCGCUCUCAUCUUCUGCCAGAUCUGGCACGUCGGCCGCGUGUCCACCUAUGAGUACCAGCCCGGUGGUGCCGCGCCGCUGUCGUGCACGGACAAGGGGGUGGGCCCGCAGAUGAGCUAUGACGGGAGGCUGGAGGAGUUCGCGCCGCCGAGGAGGCUCAAGGUGGAGGAGAUACCGGCCAUCGUCGACGACUUCAGGAAGGCAGCUAGAAACGCCAUCAACGCCGGUUUUGACGGUGUGGAGAUCCACGGGGCCAAUGGGUACCUCAUCGAGCAGUUCCUCAAGGACAGUGCGAAUGACCGCACCGACAAGUAUGGUGGCAGCAUCGAGAACCGGAGCCGCUUUGCUCUCGAGGUGGUGGAUGCCGUCGUGAAGGAGGUCGGUGGCCACCGUGUGGGCAUCCGCCUCUCCCCCUUCACCGACUACAUGGAUUGCCACGACUCCGACCCGCAUGCCCUCGCGCUCCACAUGUCCACCAAGCUCAAUGACUACAACAUCCUCUAUCUCCACAUGGUCGAGCCGAGGAUGGCCAUCGUCGAUGGACGGCGGGUGGUCCCGAAGCGCUUGCUGCCAUACAGGGAGGCGUUCAAAGGUACAUUUAUGGCCAAUGGUGGGUACGACCGCGAGGAAGGGGGCAAGGUGGUUGCCGAGGGGUACACUGAUUUGGUCUCCUUCGGGCGGUCGUUCUUGGCGAACCCGGACCUGCCAAAGAGGUUCGAGAUCGGUGCAGAGCUGAACAAGUACGAUAGAAUGACUUUCUACAUCUCCGACCCCGUCGUCGGCUACGCCGACUACCCCUUCCUCGAGUAA
rnacentral:rRNA from 1 species